GCCACGGUGGUCUAGCGGUUAGAACGCUGGCCUUGUAAUCCUGGGGCCACGGGUUCGAUUCCCGGCGGUGCCU
rnacentral:tRNA from 1 species